UACACACUUCACACCACUCACCAUAUCACAUACCCUCCCCGAUGUCCAUAACCCAACCACCCUCUCUACACCACCCCCCUGCCAGCAACCCUCUUUUUGAUUUUUGAGAUUGAGUCUCUUAUGGUUUGUCUCCAUCCCAAUCCCAUCUUUUUCACUUUUUGCUUC